UACGUAGGGUGCAAGCGUUGUCCGGAAUUAUUGGGCGUAAAGAGCUUGUAGGCGGUUUUGUCGCGUCUGCUGUGAAAUUUCGGGGCUCAACCCCGAACUUGCAGUGGGUACGGGCAGACUAGAGUGUGGUAGGGGGAGACUGGAAUUCCUGGUGUAGCGGUGAAAUGCGCAGAUAUCAGAGGAACACCGAUGGCGAAGGCAGGUCUCUGGGCCAUAACUGACGCUGAGAAGCGAAAGCAUGGGAGCGAACAG
rnacentral:rRNA from 1 species